AGCGAACGCUGGCGGCAGGCCUAACACAUGCAAGUCGAACGAAGUCUUCGGACUUAGUGGCGGACGGGUGAGUAACACGUGGGAACGUGCCUUUAGGUUCGGAGUAGCUCAGGGAAACUUGUGCUAAUACCGAAUGUGCCCUUCGGGGGAAAGAUUUAUCGCCUUUAGAGCGGCCCGCGUCUGAUUAGCUAGUUGGUGAGGUAAAGGCUCACCAAGGCGACGAUCAGUAGCUGGUCUGAGAGGAUGAUCAGCCACAUUGGGACUGAGACACGGCCCAAACUCCUACGGGAGGCAGCAGUGGGGAAUCUUGCGCAAUGGGCGAAAGCCUGACGCAGCCAUGCCGCGUGAAUGAUGAAGGUCUUAGGAUUGUAAAAUUCUUUCACCGGGGACGAUAAUGACGGUACCCGGAGAAGAAGCCCCGGCUAACUUCGUGCCAGCCGCCGCAGUAA
rnacentral:rRNA from 1 species